rnacentral:rRNA from 1 species
AUGGGGAAACCUAAUCUGUUUGCUGUCAAUCCUAAUCCAAGCUCUUACAGGUUUAAAGGAUUUCAAUCUAUUAUCCAAAACCUUAAGUUUGGUUUUAGAUGGAAAGUUGGCAGUGGAGAGAGGGUCAGCUUCUGGGAAGAUACCUGGUUUGGGACGUCAUCACUAGCUACUCAACUCUGGCCUGUCUACUUAGUUUGCAAUGAACAAACUAAAACUAUUAGGGAGGUUUGGGAUGGAGAAACCCUCAAACUAACCUUUAGGAGGAAUUUUGAUAGCAAGCUCAUGUAG